rnacentral:rRNA from 1 species
AUGCAGUACGAACGCGAAGGGGAGCAAUCCCUGAGUAGAGUGGCAAACGGGUGAGUAACACGUGGGUGACCUGCCUUCGAGUGGGGGAUAACGUCCCGAAAGGGACGCUAAUACCGCAUGACAUCCUGCCYUUGGASRGGCGGAGAUCAAAGCUGGGGAUCGCAAGACCUGGCGCUUGAAGAGGGGCCCGCGCCUGAUUAGCUAGUUGGUGRGGUAAYGGCUCACCAAGGCUACGAUCAGUAUCCGGCCUGAGAGGGCGGACGGACACACUGGGACUGAGACACGGCCCAGACUCCUACGGGAGGCAGCAGUGGGGAAUUGUUCGCAAUGGGCGCAAGCCUGRCGACGCAACGCCGCGUGGAGGAUGAAGAUCUUCGGGUCGUAAACUCCUGUCGARYGGGAMGAAUGYUCYGUGGAUGAAUAAGCCGCAGAAGUGACGGUACCGCUAAAGGAAGCCCCGGCUAACUCCGUGCCAGCAGCCGCGGUAAUACGGGGGGGGCAAGCGUUGUUCGGAAUUACUGGGCGUAAAGGGCUCGUAGGUGGCCAAUUAAGUCAGACGUGAAAUCCCCAGGCUCAACUUGGGAACUGCGUCUGAUACUGAGUGGCUUGAAUUCGGGAGAGGGAUGCAGAAUUCCAGGUGUAGCGGUGAAAUGCGUAGAUAUCUGGAGGAAUACCGGUGGCGAAGGCGGCAUCCUGGACCGAGAUUGACACUGAGGAG